rnacentral:rRNA from 1 species
UACGUAGGUGGCAAGCGUUGUCCGGAUUUACUGGGCGUAAAGAGCGCGCAGGCGGUCGUUCAAGUCGCGUGUGAAAGCCCCCGGCUCAACUGGGGAGGGUCACGCGAUACUGAUCGACUCGAAGGCAGGAGAGGAGACUGGAAUUUACGGUGUAGCAGUGAAAUGCGUAGAUAUCGUAAGGAAGACCAGUGGCGAAGGCGGGUCUCUGGACAGUUCCUGACGCUGAGGCACGAAGGCCAGGGGAGCAAGCGGG